CUAGUAAUGGCAGGUCAGCAUACUGCCGUGAAUACGUUCCCCGGGCCUUGUACACACCGCCCGUCACACCAUGAGAGUUGGAGAUACCCGAAGCCUGUGAGCUAACAGAAAUGGAGCAGCAGUCGAAGGUAGAAUCAAUGAUUGGGGUGAAGUCGUAACAAGGUAAC
rnacentral:rRNA from 1 species